CACUUAAACAAAGUCAUGUCCACGUCAGCUGCAAACACGUGUCCUCUACAAAAAGCAGUCUCUAGAAGCGCCAGUCUCUCAAAAUACAAAAACAAUUUCCUCAAAGAAGCCAUUGAUAACAGCUUACAAAACCCUAAAUACUUCUCCAGGCUCGAGAAAUGUCGAGGGUUUACGUAGGGAAUUUGGAUCCACGGAUAACUGAGAGAGACCUUGAGGAUGAGUUUCGCAUCUAUGGUGUUCUCAGAAGUGUUUGGGUUGCAAGACGACCUCCAGGUUAUGCAUUCAUUGAGUUCGAUGAUCGUAGGGAUGCUCUAGAUGCGAUUCGCGAGCUAGAUGGGAAAAAUGGUUGGCGUGUGGAGCUCUCACACAAUUCAAGCGGUCGUGGUGGAGGCCGUGGCGGUCGUGGUCGUGGAGGUGAUGAUUUGAAAUGUUAUGAAUGUGGUGAGCCUGGUCAUUUUGCUAGAGAGUGCCGUUUGCGCGUUGGUCCGCGAGGACUUGGAAGUGGGCGAUAUCGAAGUCCCAGCCCUCGAUAUCGCAGAAGUCCCAGUUAUGGGAGAAGGAGUUACAGCCCUCGUGGAAAAUCUCCUCGAGGUCGCAGCCUAUCUCCUCGUCGUGGAUGCAGCUACAGCAGGUCGCCCCCCUACCGUCGGGGCCGCUAUGAGUCACCUUAUGCCAAGGGUUUAUCACCUCGCCGUGGCCGUGGUAGCUACAGCAGGUCCCCAGCAUAUCGUCGUCAUGAUUCUCCUUAUGCAAACGGAGUUUGAUGCUGGUCUGAGCAAAAAAUACUUCUGAGGAUGUGAGGAUCUUCAUUUGUAGUCUGAUAGGCUUGACAAAAGAGUAGCAUUAUGUAGUUUGUUUUCGUGAUAGUUGAUGUCUUGAACUGGAUUCUGGGAGACUUCUGCUCUCUUUAGCCAACUCCAGACUUCAUUUUUGUGACGGCUCCCUCAGUUCAGCAACGUUGGAGGUUUUCUUCUUUGAGGUAUCAUUUUCGGCUGAGACUGCAUCAUUGCACCACCAUGCUUCUUUAGUUGUCAUCGAUAGCCCCACCACUUCUCUACAUCAAAUUGUCAUCUUAUGAGUUUGAUUUCCUAUUGAAAACUGCAAGCCCCUCCUACUUCAACGAAGCUUCUUUAGGGUCGGUGAUGCUUAUUUGAUUCUCUGCGCACUGGUGGACAAUGAAAGCUGUUUGUUGCCUUGCCUUCAUUCUUCGUUUGCCAGCUUAAACAGCUCCAUUAUGCAAUGAAGUGUCUAUAGAUCUGUCUCAUUUUCUUCUCUGCCCAUGGGUGGACUGUUGAAGCUGUUUGUGGCACAUCAAUUUUCAUUGCCAGUUUGGCCCAUAUUUCUCUUCGUUAAUCAGAUAGCGUGGCCACAUAUUUCUUGUGGAGGAAAUUCCUCGCCUUCACUGAUGGAACUCCUACGUGGUUGCCCAGAGAAGGAACCCAUGUUCUGCAUUCUAUACCUCCUGCGCUCGUAGCGUAGAGAAGAUAUCGCCUUUUUGGAAUGUGGCUGAGAAUGUUGUAAAUACAUGUUUGAUUUUGUCAUGUAAUUAACUUGGCCUUAAACAUGUGGUGGACCUCUAAUGCCACGUUAUAAAUUUAAUUUUGUUGCA